CCAGACUCCUACGGGAGGCAGCAGUGGGGAAUAUUGCACAAUGGGGGGAACCCUGAUGCAGCGACGCCGCGUGGGUGAAGAAGUCAUUCGUGACGUAAAGCCCUAUCAGCAGGGAAGAAAAUGACGGUACCUGACUAAGAAGCCCCGGCUAACUACGUGCCAGCAGCCGCGGUAAUACGUAGGGGGCAAGCGUUAUCCGGAUUUACUGGGUGUAAAGGGAGCGUAGACGGCGGCGCAAGUCCGGAGUGAAAGCCCGGGGCUCAACCCUGGGACUGCUCUGGAAACUGUAAAGCUGGAGUGUGGGAGGGGCAGGCGGAAUUCCUGGUGUAGCGGUGAAAUGCGUAGAUAUCAGGAGGAACACCGGCGGCGAAGGCGGCCUGCUGGACCGUAACUGACGUUGAGGCUUGAAAGCGUGGGGAGCAAACAGGAUUAGAUACCCUAGUAC
rnacentral:rRNA from 1 species